UACGUAGGGGGCAAGCGUUGUCCGGAAUCAUUGGGCGUAAAGCGCGUGUAGGCGGCCCGGUAAGUCCGCUGUGAAAGUCGGGGGCUCAACCCUCGAAUGCCGGUGGAUACUGUCGGGCUAGAGUACGGAAGAGGCGAGUGGAAUUCCUGGUGUAGCGGUGAAAUGCGCAGAUAUCAGGAGGAACACCAAUUGCGAAGGCAGCUCGCUGGGACGUUACUGACGCUGAGACGCGAAAGCGUGGGGAGCAAACAGG
rnacentral:rRNA from 1 species